CUUAAUUUUCUUGUUGAUGUUUUGUAUGUCUAUCUGUGGAACUUGUGCUUUGUAUGUGUAAAUGUUAAUACAAACAAUUUGUUUUUAAUAUUUUAUUUUCAGGUUCUGUGAACUACUGCUUUUGCUAAUCUACCGCAGAUGACCAUGACAAUCCAGCAGAUAACUUCAGGAUUUAUAGAAGGCAUAUAAUGACAGUGAGCGGGACCAAAACUCUGACAAUCUAAGUCACCUAUAGGUAGCAUAAGUAAUCUAUAUGACUCAAGUUGCUCAAAUAAUGUCUAGAUGUGUAACGAAUACCUUGCAUGUACAGAGCUAUGUUCUGAAUCUGAUAUACUCCGCUUGUAUUCCCACUGUCAGA